rnacentral:misc_RNA from 1 species
ACAUGCUAGUUAUCUACAAUUGCAUUCCCUAAAACUAUUAGCAUGACCAAGUCAUUUGAAUUGUUUAUAACUAAACAAAAGAGUUAACAAAAUAAUAUCUUGCUUUAGUCAUUAAUCAUAGUUCAGAAUGUUACAAGGAAGACCUAGAUUACAAAACUACUAGCUAACCUGAGAAAAGCCUAGGCCCUGUUCAACAACAGUUUUUAAGAUAGCAUUUAGUGUUUUGACCUUAGUCAAAA